rnacentral:rRNA from 1 species
GCCUUGCCAGCCCGCUCAGAAACUUAAAGGAAUUGACGGGGGCCCGCACAAGCGGAGGAGCAUGUGGUUUAAUUCGAUGAUACGCGAGGAACCUUACCUGGGCUCGAACGUAAGAUGACUGUAGGUGAAAGCUUACAUCUCUUCGGAGCAUUUUACGAGGUGCUGCAUGGUUGUCGUCAGCUCGUGCCGUGAGGUGUCGGGUUAAGUCCCAUAACGAGCGCAACCCCUACCUUUAGUUGCCAUCAGGUUAAGCUGGGGACUCUAAAGGAACUGCCUACGCAAGUAGUGAGGAAGGCGGGGAUGACGUCAAAUCAGCACGGCCCUUACGUCCAGGGCUACACACGUGCUACAAUGGCCGAUACAGAGGGCAGCUACCUGGUGACAGGAUGCAAAUCUCCAAAGUCGGUCUCAGUUCGGAUCGGAGUCUGCAACCCGACUCCGUGAAGUUGGAUUCGCUAGUAAUCGCGCAUCAGCCAUGGCGCGGUGAAUACGUUCCCGGGCCUU